rnacentral:rRNA from 1 species
AGUGAACGCUGGCGGUAGGCCUAACACAUGCAAGUCGAACGGCAGCACAGUAAGAGCUUGCUCUUACGGGUGGCGAGUGGCGGACAGGUGAGGAAUACAUCGGAAUCUACUUUUUCGUGGGGGGUAACGUAGGGAAACUUACGCUAAUACCGCAUACGACCUACGGGUGAAAGCAGGGGAUCUUCGGACCUUGCGCGAUUGAAUGAGCCGAUGUCGGAUUAGCUAGUUGGCGGGGUAAAGGCCCACCAAGGCGACGAUCCGUAGCUGGUCUGAGAGGAUGAUCAGCCACACUGGAACUGAGACACGGUCCAGACUCCUACGGGAGGCAGCAGUGGGGAAUAUUGGACAAUGGGCGCAAGCCUGAUCCAGCCAUACCGCGUGGGUGAAGAAGGCCUUCGGGUUGUAAAGCCCUUUUGUUGGGAAAGAAAAGCAGCAGGUUAAUACCCCGCUGCUCUGACGGUACCCAAAGAAUAAGCACCGGCUAACUUCGUG